GACGGACGCUGGCGGCGUGCUUAACACAUGCAAGUCGAACGGAAAGGCCCUGCUUUUGUGGGGUGCUCGAGUGGCGAACGGGUGAGUAACACGUGAGUAACCUGCCCUUGACUUUGGGAUAACUUCAGGAAACUGGGGCUAAUACCGGAUAGGAGCUCCUGCUGCAUGGUGGGGGUUGGAAAGUUUCGGCGGUUGGGGAUGGACUCGCGGCUUAUCGGCUUGUUGGUGGGGUAGUGGCUUACCAAGGCUUUGACGGGUAGCCGGCCUGAGAGGGUGACCGGCCACAUUGGGACUGAGAUACGGCCCAGACUCCUACGGGAGGCAGCAGUGGGGAAUAUUGCACAAUGGGCGGAAGCCUGAUGCAGCAACGCCGCGUGCGGGAUGACGGCCUUCGGGUUGUAAACCGCUUUCGCCUGUGACGAAGCGUGAGUGACGGUAAUGGGUAAAGAAGCACCGGCUAACUACGUG
rnacentral:rRNA from 1 species